rnacentral:rRNA from 1 species
AGAAUCAACGCUGGCGGCGUGCCUAACACAUGCAAGUCGCACGAGAAAGGGACUUCGGUCCUGAGUACAGUGGCGCACGGGUGAGUAACACGUGAAUAAUCUACCUCCGAGUGGGGAAUAAACUGAGAGAAAUCUUAGCUAAUACCGCAUAACACUUACGAGUCAAAGCAGCAAUGCGCUUGGAGAGGAGUUCGCGGCCGAUUAGUUAGUUGGCGGGGUAAUGGCCCACCAAGACUAUGAUCGGUA